GGUUAAGUGACUAAGCGUACACGGUGGAUGCCUUGGCAGUCAGAGGCGAUGAAAGACGUAGUAACUUGCGAUAAGCCCAGAUUAGGUAGUAACAACCAUUUGAGUCUGGGAUUUCUGAAUGGGGAAACCCACGUGCAUAAGCACGUAUCCUUACCUGAAUACAUAGGGUAAGGAGGCGAACCGGGGAACUGAAACAUCUAAGUACCCCGAGGAAAAGAAAUCAAUCGAGAUUCCGAAAGUAGCGGCGAGCGAAAUUGGACUAGCCCUUAAGCUUUACACGCGUUAGACGAACGGUCUGGAAAGUCCGACGAUACAGGGUGAUAGUCCCGUAGUUGACGACGUGUGUUCAGUGAAAUCGAGUAGGGCGGGACACGUGAUAUCCUGUCUGAAUAUGGGGGACCAUCCUCCAAGGCUAAAUACUACUGACUGACCGAUAGUGAACCAGUACCGUGAGGGAAAGGCGAAAAGAACCCCUGUGAGGGGAGUGAAAUAGAACCUGAAACCGUGUACGUACAAGCAGUAGGAGCAGGCUUUGUCCUGUGACUGCGUACCUUUUGUAUAAUGGGUCAGCGACUUAUAUUCAGUGGCAAGGUUAACCAUCUAGGGGAGCCGUAGGGAAACCGAGUCUUAACUGGGCGUUCAGUCUCUGGAUAUAGACCCGAAACCAGGUGAUCUAGCCAUGGGCAGGUUGAAGGUUGAGUAACAUCAACUGGAGGACCGAACCGACUAAUGUUGAAAAAUUAGCGGAUGACUUGUGGCUAGGGGUGAAAGGCCAAUCAAACCUGGAGAUAGCUGGUUCUCCCCGAAAGCUAUUUAGGUAGCGCCUCGGACGAAUACUACUGGGGGUAGAGCACUGUUAAGGCUAGGGGUCAUCCCGACUUACCAACCCUUUGCAAACUCCGAAUACCAGUAAGUACUAUCCGGGAGACACACGGCGGGUGCUAACGUCCGUCGUGGAGAGGGAAACAACCCAGACCGCCAGCUAAGGUCCCAAAUUACUACUAAGUGGGAAACGAUGUGGGAAGGCUCAGACAGCCAGGAUGUUGGCUUAGAAGCAGCCAUCAUUUAAAGAAAGCGUAAUAGCUCACUGGUCGAGUCGGCCUGCGCGGAAGAUGUAACGGGGCUAAGUAGUAAACCGAAGCUGCGGCAAUAUACUUUUGUAUAUUGGGUAGGGGAGCGUUCUGUAAGCGGUUGAAGGUGUGUGGUAACGCAUGCUGGACGUAUCAGAAGUGCGAAUGCUGACAUGAGUAACGAUAAAGGGGUGAAAAACCUCCUCGCCGGAAGACCAAGGGUUCCUGUCCAACGUUAAUCGGGGCAGGGUAAGUCGACCCCUAAGGCGAGGCCGAAAGGCGUAGUCGAUGGGAAACGGGUUAAUAUUCCCGUACUUCUUACAAUUGCGAUGGGGGGACGGAGAAGGCUAGGUGGGCCUGGCGACGGUUGUCCAGGUUCAAGUGCGUAGGCUUAAGAGUUAGGUAAAUCCGGCUCUUUUUAAGGCUGAGACACGACGUCGAGCACCUACGGGUGUGAAGUCAUUGAUGCCAUGCUUCCAGGAAAAGCCUCUAAGCUUCAGAUUGUAAGGAAUCGUACCCCAAACCGACACAGGUGGUCGGGUAGAGAAUACCAAGGCGCUUGAGAGAACUCGGGUGAAGGAACUAGGCAAAAUGGUACCGUAACUUCGGGAGAAGGUACGCUCUUGAUGGUGAAGUCCCUCGCGGAUGGAGCUGACGAGAGUCGCAGAUACCAGGUGGCUGCAACUGUUUAUUAAAAACACAGCACUGUGCAAAAUCGUAAGAUGACGUAUACGGUGUGACGCCUGCCCGGUGCCGGAAGGUUAAUUGAUGGGGUUAGACUUCGGUCGAAGCUCUUGAUCGAAGCCCCGGUAAACGGCGGCCGUAACUAUAACGGUCCUAAGGUAGCGAAAUUCCUUGUCGGGUAAGUUCCGACCUGCACGAAUGGCGUAAUGAUGGCCACGCUGUCUCCACCCGAGACUCAGUGAAAUUGAAAUCGCUGUGAAGAUGCAGUGUACCCGCGGCUAGACGGAAAGACCCCGUGAACCUUUACUACAGCUUGGCACUGAACAUUGACCCUACAUGUGUAGGAUAGGUGGGAGGCUUUGAAGCACGUACGCCAGUAUGUGUGGAGCCGUCCUUGAAAUACCACCCUUGUAGUGUUGAUGUUCUAACGUCGACCCCUAAUCGGGGUUGCGGACAGUGCCUGGUGGGUAGUUUGACUGGGGCGGUCUCCUCCCAAAGAGUAACGGAGGAGCACGAAGGUGGGCUAAUCACGGUUGGACAUCGUGAGGUUAGUGCAAUGGCAUAAGCCCGCUUGACUGCGAGAAUGACAAUUCGAGCAGGUGCGAAAGCAGGUCAUAGUGAUCCGGUGGUUCUGAAUGGAAGGGCCAUCGCUCAACGGAUAAAAGGUACUCCGGGGAUAACAGGCUGAUACCGCCCAAGAGUUCAUAUCGACGGCGGUGUUUGGCACCUCGAUGUCGGCUCAUCACAUCCUGGGGCUGAAGUCGGUCCCAAGGGUAUGGCUGUUCGCCAUUUAAAGUGGUACGCGAGCUGGGUUUAGAACGUCGUGAGACAGUUCGGUCCCUAUCUGCCGUGGGCGUUGGAAGAUUGAAGGGGCUGCUCCUAGUACGAGAGGACCGGAGUGGACGAACCUCUGGUGUUCGGGUUGUGUCGCCAGACGCAUUGCCCGGUAGCUAAGUUCGGAAUCGAUAACCGCUGAAAGCAUCUAAGCGGGAAGCGAGCCCUGAGAUGAGUCUUCCCUGAUACUUUAAGUAUCCUAAAGGGUUGUCGGAGACUACGACGUUGAUAGGUCAGGUGUGUAAGUGCUGUGAGGCAUUGAGCUAACUGAUACUAAUUGCCCGUGAGGCUUAACCAU
rnacentral:rRNA from 1 species